UUAGGUGGCUAUAGCGGCGGGGCACCACCUCUUCCCAUUCCGAACAGAGAAGUUAAGCCCGCCAGCGCCGAUGGUACUGCGUAACAGUGGGAGAGUAGGUCGCUGCCAACU
rnacentral:rRNA from 1 species